UGUCUACUUUUCUUACUCCAUGUAGGUUUCCCAGAGACUAUGGGUUGAGGAGGAAUUGGAAGUUUGUCGGCUUAGACCUGGUGUCAUUCCAUCAGUGUUAAACUUCCCGGCUCAUCUUGGAAGAGUACGUGCCAGAAAGACCACGACCAAGCAGCCUUGAGAUCUUAGGCAGCGUCUCCCUGAGGUCCCUCUCUAUCUCCCCACACAUCCACCAACCACUGGAACACAUCUCCAAAGUUCUGCCGGUCCAGCUCAGCUUCCCCUCAGAAGAAGUUCCACCACCUGCCAGAUGAAGGAGCCUUUUGAGAGGCAGCUGGCAUCUUGAUUGGACUGUACUUUGGUCUGUUCCAAUCCAGCUUCAGCUCCAGAGACGGCAGGCGGGACGAGUCAACGGAGGCCGGGUGGACGAAGGCAUGCAGCUGAGUACAAUCCAGAAAACAACAGAGGAGGAGUGCAGGGCCAGAACAAGCAGAGUAGCAUCAUAUGUCUCUUAGAAAACAUCAUAGUAUAGCCUUUGGUAUGAAAAAACGCCAUAAUAUACAUCGUAUAUUGUACAAAUAACAAGUCAAAGGAAAGAGACAUACAUUGUAGAAUUGUAGUAAUUGUGGGCUGACUGGCCUUGGCAAUGGUUGUCGGAAUGUGAAUAACACUGACCACACCUCACAGAGGUUAUAAGCUGAGGCAACAUCAACCACCACCAGAACUGAAGAAGCCUCUUGGAUGAGAGGUGAAACGUCUUCAAGGAACCUUCUUAAAGUCCAGUUGGAUUGAUUUAAACAACUUUGGAUGACUGAUCUACUGAUUAUCAGUAUUUUAUUUUUUACUGAUUUACGGUAAUAAAUAAAUUUAAAAAUGGUG